rnacentral:tRNA from 1 species
GCGGGGAGAGCUCAGUGGCAGAGCGCGUGCUUAGCAUGCACGAGGUCCUGGGUUCAAUCCCCAGCCCCUCCA